GUCCACGCCGUAAACGAUGUCGACUUGGAGGUUGUGCCCUUGAGGCGUGGCUUCCGGAGCUAACGCGUUAAGUCGACCGCCUGGGAGUACGGCCGCAAGGUUAAACUCAAAUGAAUUGACGGGCCCGCACAAGCGGUGGAGCAUGUGGUUUAAUUCGAUGCAACGCGAAGAACCUUACCUACUCUUGACAUCCAGAGAAUUUAGCAGAGAUGCUUUAGUGCCUUCGGGAACUCUGGAGACAGGUGCUGCAUGGCUGUCGU
rnacentral:rRNA from 1 species